UGGGGAAUUUUGGACAAUGGGCGAAAGCCUGAUCCAGCAAUGCCGCGUGUGUGAAGAAGGCCUUCGGGUUGUAAAGCACUUUUGUCCGGAAAGAAAUCCUUGGCUCUAAUACAGUCGGGGGAUGACGGUACCGGAAGAAUAAGCACCGGCUAACUACGUGCCAGCAGCCGCGGUAAUACGUAGGGUGCAAGCGUUAAUCGGAAUUACUGGGCGUAAAGCGUGCGCAGGCGGUUUGCUAAGACCGAUGUGAAAUCCCCGGGCUCAACCUGGGAACUGCAUUGGUGACUGGCGGGCUAGAGUAUGGCAGAGGGGGGUAGAAUUCCACGUGUAGCAGUGAAAUGCGUAGAGAUGUGGAGGAAUACCGAUGGCGAAGGCAGCCCCCUGGGCCAAUACUGACGCUCAUGCACGAAAGCGUGGGGAGCAAACAGGAUUAGAUACCCUGGUAGUCCACGCCCUAAACGAUGUCAACUAGUUGUUGGGGAUUCAUUUUCCUUAGUAACGUAGCUAACGCGUGAAGUUUGACCGCCU
rnacentral:rRNA from 1 species